rnacentral:rRNA from 1 species
UACGAAGGGGACUAGCGUUGUUCGGAAUUACUGGGCGUAAAGCGCACGUAGGCGGAUUUGUAAGUCAGGGGUGAAAUCCCGGGGCUCAACCUCGGAACUGCCUUUGAUACUGCAAGUCUCGAGUCCGAUAGAGGUGGGUGGAAUUCCUAGUGUAGAGGUGAAAUUCGUAGAUAUUAGGAAGAACACCGGUGGCGAGGGCGGCCCACUGGAUCGGUACUGACGCUGAGGUGCGAAAGCGUGGGGAGCAAACAGG